UACGGAGGGGGCUAGCGUUGUUCGGAAUUACUGGGCGUAAAGCGCACGUAGGCGGCUUUGUAAGUUAGAGGUGAAAGCCCGGGGCUCAACCCCGGAAUAGCCUUUAAGACUGCAUCGCUUGAACACGGGAGAGGUGAGUGGAAUUCCGAGUGUAGAGGUGAAAUUCGUAGAUAUUCGGAAGAACACCAGUGGCGAAGGCGGCUCACUGGACCGUAGUUGACGCUGAGGUGCGAAAGCGUGGGGAGCAAACAGG
rnacentral:rRNA from 1 species